UCAUCAUCUACUCUUGGUAUACCCUUGGUUUUAUAUCUAAGUAUGUAUUUUUAUUUAUCUAGCUUGGCAACACUUUGCUGCAAUUUGCUGUUGAAGCAGGCAAAACUCAAGUUGUUGAGUUACUAUAUUCUAGAGGACAUGCUAAAAUGGCUGCUGCUGGUGAAAAAUUUGGUAUUGAUCCUUCUGGACUAUCUAUUAUUGAAAAAAAAGAAAAAAAGAUGACUAAGAAGCAAAAAGAUAGUGUAGCAAAGGAAAUGUUACAAAAGUCAACAAAAAUGUUAAGUGAUCUUACGUUGUCACCUAAAUCAGUAAGAAGAU